rnacentral:rRNA from 1 species
UAUUGGACAAUGGGGGCAACCCUGAUCCAGCAAUGCCGCGUGAGUGAUGAAGGCCUUCGGGUUGUAAAGCUCUUUUGGCGGGGACGAUGAUGACGGUACCCGCAGAAUAAGCCCCGGCUAACUUCGUGCCAGCAGCCGCGGUAAUACGAAGGGGGCAAGCGUUGUUCGGAAUUACUGGGCGUAAAGGGCGCGUAGGCGGUCUAUCAAGUCAGGCGUGAAAUUCCCGGGCUCAACCUGGGGGCUGCGCUUGAUACUGAUGGACUUGAAUGCGGGAGAGGAUAGUGGAAUUCCCAGUGUAGAGGUGAAAUUCGUAGAUAUUGGGAAGAACACCAGUGGCGAAGGCGGCUAUCUGGCCCGUGAUUGACGCUGAGGCGCGAAAGCGUGGGGAGCAAACAGGA